UACGUAGGGUGCGAGCGUUACUCGGAAUUACUGGGCGUAAAGCGUGCGCAGGCGGUGAUGUAAGACAGGUGUGAAAUCCCCGGGCUUAACCUGGGAACUGCAUUUGUGACUGCAUUGCUGGAGUGCGGCAGAGGGGGAUGGAAUUCCGCGUGUAGCAGUGAAAUGCGUAGAUAUGCGGAGGAACACCGAUGGCGAAGGCAAUCCCCUGGGCCUGCACUGACGCUCAUGCACGAAAGCGUGGGGAGCAAACAGG
rnacentral:rRNA from 1 species